UGCCGCUAAGCACCUGAAUGUGCCGGGAGCCAUUUCCCAGCGGGGUUCGGGGGCUUUUGGAAGGAGGAGGUGUUGGGACUGAGCUUGGGACCACCCGCCUUUGGUGCUUUUGUGUGCGGGCACGAGCGGGGCUGGUCUCCUUUUGUUGUCCCCCAGCCUGCUGCGGGCUUGGGAUGCUCUUCCAGUCGGUGAUGGAGAACAUGAGAAUCUGGAGCCUUCUGGGAAAAAGCUGCUUGUUUAAAAUCCACCCAUGCUGAUGAUGCUGAGGAAUUAUUUCACUACGCUGACAAGAACAGCAAUAGAACAUCUACUUCAAAAGUGUUGGGUUGUAUGGCAUCCUUGAAGACGCUACUGGUGGAAUUAAUCACUUCUCCAUAUACCAGAGCACUGACAUCCUGAGUUUGUUACAUCAAAGGAUAUUGACUGAGAAGACAAAUAAUCAAAUGACCCGUAACGCAGGGAAUGAAAGAAUACUCAGGAAAAACAGAAAUUACCUGCAGGAGAUUUACAGCUGUUCAGGGUGCAAGAUGACCUCCUCUUACUGAACACCAUAAAAUGUAAGAAGAAUAAUAACUUGGAAUUGUGGAUAAUAAUAGAACAGAGAACAGAAUUUCAAUCUGGUAUGACUGCAGGUCAUUAUUAAAAGGACUUCUGCUUUACUGUGUAAAUGUAGUUGCUUAUUUUCUUUUCAUAAAGCUGCUCCUCGCUUAGCAUGCAUGAUACAGGCCAACGAAAACAUGGAUUUCUCACUUGUUGAGAAUAUGCAUAAAGAUUUUUUCAUUCCGUAGUUAAUUACUAUGCAUAACAUUUUGAAUACACUUUCUG